rnacentral:rRNA from 1 species
UGGGGAAUUUUGGACAAUGGGCGCAAGCCUGAUCCAGCCAUGCCGCGUGCGGGAAGAAGGCCUUCGGGUUGUAAACCGCUUUUGUCAGGGGAGAAACGGUCUGUCUUAAUACUGCGGACUAAUGACGGUACCUGAAGAAUAAGCACCGGCUAACUACGUGCCAGCAGCCGCGGUAAUACGUAGGGUGCAAGCGUUAAUCGGAAUUACUGGGCGUAAAGCGUGCGCAGGCGGCUUUGCAAGACAGAUGUGAAAUCCCCGGGCUCAACCUGGGAACUGCAUUUGUGACUGCAAGGCUGGAGUGCGGCAGAGGGGGAUGGAAUUCCGCGUGUAGCAGUGAAAUGCGUAGAUAUGCGGAGGAACACCGAUGGCGAAGGCAAUCCCCUGGGCCUGCACUGACGCUCAUGCACGAAAGCGUGGGGAGCAAACAGGAUUAGAUACCCGAGUAGUCCCUGAGCGGGCUGGCAAGGCGCAU